rnacentral:hammerhead_ribozyme from 1 species
AUUCAACUGACGAGUCCCAAAUAGGACGACACAUGCAUUCUGGAU